ACGGGACUGGAAUUCCUUUCCUAUCCUUCUGGAGAAUCCUUCCCCACCCCCAAUCCAAUCCGAGUUCUUCAGGGGAUCAGGAAGAGCGAUGAACUUUUCCACCUGAUCUCCCGCCGCGGAUUCCCAGACAUUCCUCAGGCACGCUCACGGCUCCCUCAGCCACCAGCAUUUCUGUCCUUUCCCUUACACGGGGGGAAACCCUGAGCCUUUCCAGCAUCCACGGCUGUGUCUGCAAGGGUUAAACCAGGGAAUGGAGCAGUGCCCUUUCUGUUGGGGACACGCCACCUGAACGCGAAAUCAAACCUACUCACCGGGUGAAACUGCAGGAGGCGAAGCGGCUGUGAGCAAAACGCAUCCCGGCUCCAAGCACAUAGUCCAUGAUCUGCGGCUUCAGGCUAGAGCAGGGCUGAGCAGGGCGGGGGGACUUGGGGAACCAGCAGCAGUUCUGUGUGUGAAACAACCCAUUUACACCGUGCGUGUCUGCCUGUGUGUGUGUGUGUGUAGGGCAGAGAGAGGCUCCAGACCCAAAACGGGGAAAGGAGGGGAGGAGGGAGGGAGGAGAGAGAAGGAGGAGGAGAGAGGGAAGCAAACCCGAAUAGCGAGAGGGGUUGCGGAGAGGAAUGGGAUUCGCUGGGGUUGAGGUGGGUUUUUUUUGGUGGUGAUGGAAGCGAUUCUCGAGGAAAGAAUAAUAAACUGCGGGAUCUCAGCAGCAGGUAGGAGGAGAGGGGCUUUGCCCAGGCAGCCCGGCUGCCAGGGGGUCUCUCCCCGCAUCCCCCACCCCCGGCCGGGGCCGCUGUCCGUCCGUGCCCGGCAGGGAAGGGCUGCAGAUCCUGGAGCGGGGAACAGGCUUUGGGAGCGGCACGGGGAGGCGACACCGCGGCGAGGAACCUCUGUGGAGGAGGGAGGGUGGGCGGACGUCCCCCUGCUCAUCACCCGUGCCCCUCUCCUGCCCUGGGUAAGAGGAGCAUCUCCCCUUCAUCCCCCUCUUCAUCCUCCCCCCCUUCCUUCUCGGCGCUUCCAGGUUCUCUGUAUGGAAAUCACGAGCUGGCUCGGUGGAAAAAUCUCCCAUUUCUUCGCGUAGUGCCUCUGGAAUGUGUGCGGAAUCUCAAGGUGUGUGGGGGAGAGGGAGGCAGUGCCAGCAUUUAUGGAGCUUGGUGUGUGUCCCCCCCUACCCCUAGUCCCUCUCCUCCAUCCGUGCUGUGAGCAGACACGCGUUCAUGGCUAAUAAAAACGCUUUUCCCUGAGUAUAAUUGGGCUGAGAGCUAAACCACGGAAGCCAGUCCGUGUCCGGGAACAGCCUGCAGAUCAACGAGGAGCUUUGGCAUCCCUGCAGUGUAGCCUGGCUGCGUUCAUCUCAUGCUUCCCAGGAUCAAUAAGCAGACUGACCAUACCGAUUAUGUGAUGUGUACGUUGGGCAGUAUGGAGUGAUCGCAGCAUUACACCAGCACUUGUCUGCUGUGCUACAUGUGGUCUUCAAAAAGAGAUGGUAAUUUCUGUGGAGCUUUUUGAUCAAGAAAGUUUUUGUCUUCUCUCCAUUACCCCUGUAAGCACCAGUUCAUGUCCGUUUGCCAGUCUGGCAGUUUUAUGUUUCCAGAAUCUAUGGUGAAAUAUUCGGAAACCGCAGAAACCCAAGAUUCCUCUGGCAUCACAUGGGUUUGUUCCUGUCAGCAUGUUUAAUCUUUUUUAUGCUAAAUGAGCGGAUCUUAGUAAUGAUUUGCCCUGCUUGGGGUUUUAUUGACUUUUUCAUUAGCAAGGAGGCAAGAAAAGGAUUGAAGGAAGGAUGUUACAGUUUGUGAAAAAAAUGCAGUGUCCAUUUCAAGUGUAGUAGCUGUUAAAUAUGUAGGCAUAUGUAUGCUGCCUUAUGUAGUUAUAAAAAUGAAAGACAUGCCAUCUUGCCUCUUUGCCUCAGAAUAUGAUUUCUCUCACAGCAACAAGUAGCACAGGCUCUUCUCUCCCCUUUUCUCCUCCCCUUCAGCCCCUCCUGACAAAAUGCCAGUUAUAAAGGUCAGCCUGUUUAUGUAAAGCCCGUGUGUUUCUUAACAAAGACUGCUGCACAUCAAGCCUGCAACGACUAUCAAAUAGACUUGGGAUUCAAGACACUCAACAAGAGCACUGUCCAUUUUCUAGGACUGAUAAAAUCCCAGGCAAAACAGGAGACAAAGAGCCGCGGUGUGUGACUGGGGUAGGUCACCAGCGCCAGGGUGCACACGGGCAGCAGUGUCUUCAUAGCAGUGUUUGGUGCUGCAAAUGUUGGCAAGAUCCAUUGGAGCUGUGUUUCUUCCUAUCUCUAAUGAUGUCCUUAGGCUGAACUUGCUUUGCAGCUCCUUCACACCAAGGGCAGCUUAAAUCAGCCAAGGAGAAUUUUGAGUCUGACCAACCCCACCCUCCCGAUAAAAGAGAAGAGAUCGACUUCAUUAGUCUUUGGCUUUGCAAUGAGGUGUUUUCAUUUAAUAGCAUCCAGAGGUGCAGUGGACAUAGUCUGAUCUUUAUUUCACUGUGCUCCCUUUCCCUCCCUGCCACCUUCUUUCACCUGAAGAGCAGUACAACUUGGUUUCCUCAACUAAUAUAACCUCUGUUGGUCCUUUUCCACUUUAAAUCUAAUAAGAAUAUUCUGAUAUUAUUCUCUUCAUAGAAUCACAGAAUGGUUUGGUUAGAAGGCACCUUAAAGAUCAUCGUGUUCCAACCCCCUACCACAAGCAGGGACACCUUCCACUAGACCAGGUUGCUUUUAUUAACCUAAAGAUUAAAACAAUUUACUUUAUAAUUACAACACAGAUCUGCAACAGUGGUCAACUCCAAGACCUAAUUGCCACCACAGUUCACUUUUGGCCCUUAAAAUCACCCUGAAGCAGAGCUAAAGGGUUGUAGAGGACUAUGAUGCUUUUUGUUCAAUGGUGUUAAUAAUCUAUGGCCUUAGAAUAUGAUCUUACAAAGUCUCAUCCUAGGGCAGAAUAAUGAAUAAUGAAAUCACAAGCAAUGGAACGGGGCAGAAACUUAUAUCACUCCCCAAAAUGCUAAAUGCAAACUGGGACCCAGUCUGAACUGAGGAGCUGCGCAGGAUGAUGUGAGAGGGGAGGGGCACUCCAAGUCCUCCCAUCCUAAAAGCCUUGCGGCCCUGAAUUACAGGUCAUUAGAUUCCUUUGUCCCGUAAAUCUGCAUUAAAUAGCAGCGUGAUUCUGUGUUGGUAAACGCAAGUUUUAACAGCUUAUCCCAUAAUAUUUUAAUUUUUCUUUACUUCGUAUAUUCAGCCUUUUCACCCUUUUUCUCCCAGGACCUGCUUAAGCUUCUCUUUAGCUCCCAAAAAAUGUAUGUAAUUUGUUAAGCCAGUUCAGCAGUUACUCUCAGUUUCCAACAGACAAACCUAUUAUGCAAACAAUACUGUCACCUUCUCCCGGCUGUAAUGAAUUCUCUGCAUGCUACUCUGCUGUAAAUUCUCCAUCUAAAAAUUCCACGCACUACAUGUUUUGUCAGGGGAAACUGUACUUGACUUUUGAAACAGUUGGGAGGAACAAAAUGAUAACCUACUAAAGUGCCUUGCCCUUAACUGGAAUUAUGGCAAGUAAUUAAAGUUAGAGCAAAAAGACUUAAACUUUGGACUGCUUAUGUUCUCAGUGUUUUUGCUCGGAUGAGGGUUUUUUUUUAGAUGUCUGAUUUGAAUGUCAAAUUUGCAUAUUCAUCUAGAAAACAUAGGGAAUGCUUAAUUGCCUGUGUCCAGUGUUCAUAUUUUUCUUGGGAAACAAUGUUUCAUAUACUCGUGGUUUUUGUUUCUAGUUAUUAUUGCAUCCAUAAAUUGGACUGGGUGUCUAAACAAGUCCUGUAUUUGCUCAUUAUACAAACAAAUAUGCCA